CCUACGGGUGGCAGCAGUGAGGAAUAUUGGUCAAUGGCCGUAAGGCUGAACCAGCCAAGUAGCGUGAGGGAAGACUGCCCUAUGGGUUGUAAACCUCUUUUAUGCGGGGACAAAGGUGUCCACGCGUGGCUGUUUGCAGGUACCGGAUGAAUAAGGACCGGCUAAUUCCGUGCCAGCAGCCGCGGUAAUACGGAGGGUCCGGGCGUUAUCCGGAUUUAUUGGGUUUAAAGGGAGCGUAGGCCGGUCUUUAAGCGUGCCGUGAAAUUUUGUGGCUCAACCAUGGGAGUGCGGCGCAAACUGGAAACCUUGAGUGGGCGGAAGGCAGGCGGAAUUCGUGGUGUAGCGGUGAAAUGCAUAGAUAUCACGAAGAACCCCGAUUGCGAAGGCAGCCUGCCGCAGCGUUACUGACGCUGAAGCUCGAAAGCGCGGGUAUCGAACAGGAUUAGAUACCCCUGUAGUC
rnacentral:rRNA from 1 species